rnacentral:rRNA from 1 species
UAACUGCGAGUGAAGCGGCAAAAGCUCAAAUUUGAAAUCUAACGUUAUUGACGUUCGAGUUGUAAUUUGGAGGGAUAUCUUUGGAGCUGGUGCUGUCCUAAGUUCUUUGGAACCAGACAUCAUAGAGGGUGAGAAUCCCGUGCCUGGAUGGCUGUUCCGCUCCGUGUAAAGUAUCUCCGACGAGUCGAGUUGUUUGGGAAUGCAGCUCAAAAUGGGUGGUAAAUUUCAUCUAAAGCUAAAUAUUGGCGAGAGACCGAUAGCGCACAAGUAGAGUGAUCGAAAGAUGAAAAGCACUUUGAAAAGAGAGUUAAACAGUACGUGAAAUUGUUGAAAGGGAAAGCGCUUGAGACCAGAUUCAGCCGGCGGGUCAUCAGCCAUAUUUUUAUGUGGUGCACUUGCCGUCGGUUGAGGCCAGCAUCGGUUUUGAUGGCGGGAUAAAGGUUUCAGGAAUGUGGCUCCUCGAUUUAGAGGAGUGUUAUAGCCUGGAGCGCAAUGCCGCCCGUUGGGACCGAGGACCGCGCUUUUGCUAGGAUGCUGGC